rnacentral:rRNA from 1 species
GGUCAAGCUACGAAGGGUCUAUGAUGGAUGACUUGGCAAGGUAGUGCGAUGAAGGACGGGGUAAGCACCGAUAUGCUCUGGGGAGUCGCAAACAGACUUUGAUCCAGAGAUCUCCGAAUGGGGUAACCUACCUCGAAUAUUCGGGGUAUCUACUGCUGAAUCCAUAGGCAGUAGAGGCGAUACUAGGGGAACUGAAACAUCUCAGUACCCUAAGGAAAAGAAAUCGAAAGAGAUUCCCCCAGUAGCGGCGAGCGAAAAGGGAAAAGCCUAAAUCCGCCAAGUUUCUUGGCGGAGGUUGUGGGACUCCCAUUUUUCAGGUAGAUGGAGGAAUAGCAGAAGUAUCUGGAAAGAUACGCCCAAGAAGGUGAAAGCCCUGUAUGCGAAAUUCCAAGAUCGCCUGGGGAUGUUCCCAAGUACCACGGGACACGGGAAAUCCUGUGGGAAUCUGGGCCGACCAAGGUCUAAGGCUAAAUACUCACCUUGACCGAUAGUGCACAAGUACCGUGAGGGAAAGUUGAAAAGAACGCAGGUUAUGCGAGUGAAAUAGAACCUGAAAUCAUAGACCUACAAGCGGUAGGAGGGCUAUGUCCGCUAUUCUUAUAGCGGAAAUGCCUGACUGCGUACCUUUUGCAUAAUGGACCGACGAGUUAUUCUUGCAAGCGAGUCUAAUCUGCCAACUUCUUUGGCAGAGGAGGCGCAGGGAAACCGAGUCCUAACCAGGGCGAUUUAGCUUGCAGGAAUAGACCCGAAACCGAGUGAUCUACCCAUGGCCAAGGGGAACUCUGAUGAAAAUCAGAGGGACGCCUGAACCCGUCACUGUUGAAAAAGUGUGGGAUGAGCUGUGGGUAGGAGUGAAAGGCUAAACAAACUCGGAAAUAGCUGGUUCUCCCCGAAAUAUCUCUAGGGAUAGCCUCGGGUUAACUACGUAAGAGGGGUAGAGUGCUGAAUGGGUUACGGGUCCUUACCAGGACACUGAACCCAACCAAACUUCGAAUACUCUUACGACUAUCCCGGGAGUAAGACGUUGGGGGAUAAGCUCCAUCGUCAAAAGGGAAUCAGCCCAGAUCACCAGCUAAGGUCCCUAAAUAUAGGCUAAGUGGUAAAGGAUGUGGAAUCGCUAAGACAACCAGGAUGUUGGCUUAGAGGCAGCCAUCAUUUAAAGAGUGCGUAACAGCUCACUGGUCGAGCGAUUCUGCGCCGAAGAUCCACGGGGCUUAAGCCUAUUACCGAAGCUGUGGUUCGCCAAAAUUUUUUGGCGAAGGUAGGGGAGCGUUCUGCAUGCAGAGAAGGUAGACCGUAAGGACUACUGGAGUAUGCAGAAGUGAUUAUGUCGGUAUGAGUAGCGAAAAUGCCGGCGAGAAACCGGCACGCCGAAAGUCUAAGGUUUCCUGGGGAAGGUUAAUCCGCCCAGGGUUAGUCGAGCCUAAGCCGAGGCUGAUAUAUGCGUAGGUGAUGGGUAUGCCGUUAAUAUUCGGCAACCAACUAAAUAACGUUAUUACUUGGUAGAAGACGCAGUGAGGUCAGUACUGCAGAGUGCUGGAAGUCUCUGUUUCUGUCGGAGUAAUCCGAUGGAGGGACCUCAAGGUUUUCCGCGAGGGAAGUGUACUGAAUCUUGCUGCCAAGAAAAUUCUAUCCAAGGAGUUAUUUAGUUGUUCGUACCGGAAUCCGACACAGGUAGACCACCAGAGAAUGGUAAGGCGCUCGAGAUAACCCUCGUUAAGGAACUCGGCAAAAUAGCCCCGUAACUUCGGGAGAAGGGGUCCCGUCAUGAAAAAUGGCGGGCUCAGUAAAGUGGCCCGGGUGACUGUUUAGUAAAAACACAGCACUCUGCGAACUCGAAAGAGGAUGUAUAGGGUGUGAAACCUGCCCGGUGCUGGAAGGUUAAGGGGAGGAGUUAUUUCCGAAUUUUCGGAGAGAAGCUCUGAACCGAAGCCCCAGUGAACGGCGGCCGUAACUAUAACGGUCCUAAGGUAGCGAAAUUCCUUGUGGGGUAAGUUCCCACGCGCACGAAUGGUCUAACAACUUGGGCGCUGUCUCAACGAGGGACUCGGCGAAAUUGUAGUGGCGGUGAAGAUGCCGUCUACCCGCAUCAAGACGAAAAGACCCCGGAACCUUUACUGCAACCUGUUAUUGGAUUUUGGUCCCAUAUGUGUAGAAUAGGUGGGAGGCUGUGAAGUUCCGACGCUAGUUGGAAUGGAGCCGCAAUGUGAAAUACCACCCUUAUGGUACUAAAGUCCUAAUCUUGUUCCUUGAAUCAGGACAGGAGACAGUGGCAGGUGGGCAGUUUGACUGGGGCGGUUCCCUUCUGAAAGGUAACGAAGGGGCCCAAAGGUUGGCUCAAGGCGGUCGGCAAUCGCCUGUGGAGUGUAAGCGCAUAAGCCAGCUUGACUGUGAGGGAGGCAUCCCGAGCAGGUACGAAAGUAGGGGCUAAUGAUCCGGUGGUUCUGUUUGGAAGGGCCAUCGCUCAACGGAUAAUAGGUACUCCGGGGAUAACAGGCUGAUCGGGCUCGAGAGUUCACAUCGACAGCCCGGUUUGGCACCUCGAUGUCGGCUCAUCCUAUCCUGGGGCUGGAUAAGGUCCCAAGGGUCCGGCUGUUCGCCGGUUAAAAGGGUACGCGAGCUGGGUUUAGAACGUCGUGAGACAGUUCGGUCUCUAUCUGAUGUGGGCGCGAGGAUACUUGAAGGGAAGCUCUCCUCAGUACGAGAGGACCAGGAGAGACGAACCUCUGGUGUUCCAGUUAUCGAGCCUUCGGUAAAGGCUGGGUAGCUAUGUUCGGAAGGGAGAAGCGCUGAAGGCAUCUAAGCGCCAAACCCCUCCCAAGAAUAGGUAUCCCUUCUGCCAUUAAUCGUGGCAGAUGAAGGCAUCCUGAAGACUACAGGAUUGAUAGGCGGGAAGUGUAAGACCCGUAAGGGUUUGAGCUAACCCGUACUAAUCUGCCAAUCGGCUUGACCAU